GGGAAUUUUGCGCAAUGGGGGAAACCCUGACGCAGCAACGCCGCGUGGAGGAUGAAGUCUCUUGGGACGUAAACUCCUUUCGAUCGGGAAGAUGAUGACGGUACCGAUAGAAGAAGCCCCGGCUAACUUCGUGCCAGCAGCCUCGGUAAUACGAGGGGGGCAAGCGUUGUUCGGAAUUAUUGGGCGUAAAGGGUGCGUAGGCGGUUGGGUAAGUCUUAUGUGAAAUCUUCGGGCUCAACUCGAAGUCUGCAUGAGAAACUGCCUGGCUUGAGUGUGGGAGAGGUGAGUGGAAUUUCCGGUGUAGCGGUGAAAUGCGUAGAUAUCGGAAGGAACACCUGUGGCGAAAGCGGCUCACUGGACCAUAACUGACGCUGAGGCACGAAAGCUAGGGGAGCAAA
rnacentral:rRNA from 1 species